rnacentral:snoRNA from 1 species
GCAUCUGAAUCUUUCCCAGCUCCUUGCGACACGUAACGCUGGGCUGGGACAUGGGAUGCGACAGGAGAGCAGAGGGAAUCCAGGCAAGCUCGCUCUGCCCCGGUGGGACUUGUCUGUAGCCUCUGCAGCGUCU